GACGAACGCUGGCGGCGUGCUUAACACAUGCAAGUCGAACGGAAAGGCCUGCUUUCCCUUGUGGAUUGCGGGUACUCGAGUGGCGAACGGGUGAGUAACACGUGAUUGAUCUGCCCCCAACUUGGGUAUAAGCCUGGGAAACUGGGUCUAAUUCCCGAUAGGACUGCAGGGUGGUGCCUGUGGUGGAACACGAUUUUCUAGUGGUUGGGGAUGAGCUCGCGGCCUAUCAGCUUGUUGGUGGGGUAAUGGCCUACCAAGGCGGCGACGGGUAGCCGGCCUGAGAGGGUGGACGGCCACAUUGGGACUGAGAUACGGCCCAGACUCCUACGGGAGGCAGCAGUGGGGAAUAUUGCACAAUGGGCGGAAGCCUGAUGCAGCGACGCCGCGUGGGGGAUGACGGCCUUCGGGUUGUAAACUCCUUUCGACCGCGAGGAAGCCACCUGGUUGGAAGGGUGGUGACGGUAGUGGUAGAAGAAGCACCGGCUAACUACGUG
rnacentral:rRNA from 1 species